GGUAAUACCGCAUGUUGGUUGGCGGGGAGGCAUCUCCUUGUAACUUAAACUUUGGUUGGUUAGAGAUCGGUGUGCGUCUGUAUUAGCUAGUUGGUAGGUAGAGGCCUACCAAGGCGACGAUCAGGUAGGGGGCGUGAGAGCGUGAACCCCCACACGGGUACUGAGACACGGACCCGACUCCUACGGGAGGCAGCAGUAAGGAAUAUUGGUCAAUGGAGGGAACUCUGAACCAGCCAUGCCGCGUGAAGGAAGAAGGCGCUACGCGUUGUAAACUUCUUUGGGUGGGACGAAAAUAAUCCAUUUAUGGAUAGCUGACGGUACCAUCAGAAUAAGCACCGGCUAACUCCGUG
rnacentral:rRNA from 1 species